ensembl:snoRNA SNORD63 Small nucleolar RNA SNORD63
AUGCUGUGAUGAAUAUAUAUAACACAUCAUGCUGACACACUGUGGUGAAUACUCAACCCUGAGCAUA